rnacentral:misc_RNA from 1 species
AGCAGCCGCGGUAAUUCCAGCUCCAAUAGCGUAUAUUAAAGUUGUUGCAGUUAAAAGCUCGUAGUUGAAUUUCGGGAUUGGCGCAUCGGUCGUGCCUCACGGGGUAUGAACUGGUGCAGUCAAUUUCUCACCUUCUGGAGAACCGCGAUGUCCUUAAUUGGAUGCCGCGGGGAACCAGGACCUUUACUUUGAAAAAUUAGAGUGUUUAAAGCAGGCAUUUUUGCUUGAAUACAUUAGCAUGGAAUAAUAAAAUAGGACGGCAUGGUUCUAUUUUGUUGGUUUCUAGGACCACGGUAAUGAUUAAUAGGGAUAGUUGGGGGCAUUAGUAUUCAAUUGUCAGAGGUGAAAUUCUUGGAUUUAUUGAAGACUAACUACUGCGAAAGCAUUUGCCAAGGAUGUUUUCAUUAAUCAAGAACGAAAGUUAGGGAUCGAAGACGAUCAGAUACCGUCGUAGUCUUAACCAUAAACUAUGCCGACUAGGGAUCGGAUGAUGUUAAUUUUUAAUGACUCAUUCGGCGUC